UGGGGAAUAUUGGGCAAUGGGCGAAAGCCUGACCCAGCAACGCCGCGUGAAGGAAGAAGGCCUUCGGGUUGUAAACUUCUUUUACCAGGGACGAAGGACGUGACGGUACCUGGAGAAAAGCAACGGCUAACUACGUGCC
rnacentral:rRNA from 1 species